ACAACGCCAAUGUACCCUAUUCUUGGCAGGUCCUACUCUAGCACAUAAUGCCUGUUCUUAUGAGAUCAAGGCCGGACUGGCCUACCGGGAUACCGGGAAAUUUCCCGGUAGGCCGCCAGCCCUGGGGCCGCUUUGACAUGUGGCUGCACUUAGCCACAACACAUGAAAAUAUUUUUUUUCUUGUAACCUAUGCGGCCGCGCAGCCACAUCCGCGCCGGCCGCUGCUGCUCGCACAGAUACUUCCUGUCAGCCGCCGGAUGUGAGCAGCAAAUAACGACAUGACGUCACAUCCGGCGGCUGCGCGGCGGCUCUACGGAGACUUCAUCACGGCCUCUCUUCCCUGCACCAUUGCGCUGUUGAAAAGGUAAGAAUAAAGGGGCUUGAGGGACCUAUUGUAUUGGGGUAUCAAUAAUGUAUUGG